CGUUUCUAACAUCUCUCUCUUUCUGUUUCUUCUACUACCCUUAAACCCUAAACUCCGUGUGCUGCCAUUGUUCACUGGUCCUAAAACCCUAGUUACUACAUUGCUGUUCCUUUGCUUUUAUUUCAAUAUCAGUCCAAAUUUGCAACUGAUUGUAACAUAUUUCUGCAAAAGUUGUGAACUUUAAGCUCACAAUUGAAUCAUGAAGAACCUGAAAAAGAAGAAAGCUUCAGCUCAAAACACCCAGAAGGGUAGUAAGAAGAGAUUUUCAAUUGAAAGCGACCCAUUUUUCCAUGAAGACAACGACUUGAAAAGGCGAAAGAGAUUUGGAGAUGAUGAAGAUAUAGAGAGCAGUGAUGAUUCAGAGGACAUUUAUGGGUCUGAUGAUGAAGGAGUGGAUAGGAAUGAGCGGAAGGAUGAAGAAGAGGAAGAGGAGGAGGAGACGGCAGCUGAGAAGAGAAAAAGGCUGGCGGAGACUUUUUUGCAUAGUAUGAGGGAGUCGAAGAGGAAGGAAGAGGAAGAAAGAGAGAGUGAAGAGGAAUAUGAUAGAGAGGAGAGGGAAGCAAUGAGAGACUCAUGGAUGGUAGACAUGUUGCAGAAGGAGCAGAUGGAGGGCAGUGGUCGUUCCAGAAAAGCUAUUGCUUCCAGGAUUCAAAAACCCACCGAGGGAUUUCACCUUUUAGUGAAACAUCGACAGUCCGUAACUGCUGUGACUUUAUCUGAGGAUGACUUAAAGGGAUUUUCAUCUUCUAAAGAUGGCACUAUUGUUUGCUGGGACGUGGACAGUGGAAAGACAGAAAAGUAUGCAUGGCCUACUGAUGAAGCUCUGAAGUCACAUGGUGCAAAGGACCCACAAGGUCGAGCAACAAAACAUAGUAAGAAUGUUUUAGCUUUGGCUGUCAGCUCUGAUGGACGCUAUUUGGCAAGUGGAGGCUUAGAUCGUCACGUUCAUUUGUGGGACAUCCGAACACGGCAGCAUAUUAAGGCAUUCCCUGGUCAUAAGGGACCUGUUUCAUGUUUGACAUUCAGACAAGGAUCUUCUGAACUGUUUUCGGGGUCGUUUGAUCGAUCCAUCAAGAUAUGGAAUGUGGAAGAUAGAGCUUAUGUAAAUACUUUAUUUGGUCAUCAAAGUGAAGUUCUAACCAUUGAUUCUUUGAGGAAAGAAAGGGUCUUGACAGUUGGACGAGACCGAACCAUGCACUUAUGGAAGGUUCCAGAGGAAUCUCAAUUGAUAUUUCGUGCUCCAGCAACUUCCCUUGAAUGCUGUUGUUUCAUCAAUAAUGAUGAGUUUCUAUCUGGUUCUGAUGAUGGAAGUAUUGAGCACUGGAACGUAACAAGGAAGAAGCCUGUCCACAUUGUAAAAAAUGCACAUGCUUCAUUGCAAUCAGUGGGAAUUGAACAGAGCAAUGGGGCCCUAUCAAAUGGCCACAUGGAAAAUGGCACACUUAAUCCUCAGUGUCAUUCCUCAUCAGCACUCUCUUGGGUUAGUGCGCUGACAGUCUGCAGAAAUAGUGAUCUUGCAGCAUCAGGAGCUGGCAACGGGUCCGUUCAAUUGUGGACUAUUGAAAAUGAAUCAAAAGGCAUCUCUCCAUUGUUUGAGCUCCCAGUGGCUGGAUUUAUAAAUUCCUUAGUUUUUUCAAAAUCAGGACAGUUCUUGGUUGCUGCAGUAGGGCAGGAACCUCGCCUAGGAAGGUGGGGGCGUAUUGCUGAUGUUCGAAAUGGAGUUUUUGUGCAUCCUUUGAAGCAUUCGUGAUACUGAGCUUGUUGGUCAUUGUCCACUUCGGCUCAUGCUAAAAGGAGGAAUAGCCUUCUCUGUACUUUCUUGUGAGGUGAACAUCAUCAAUUGUAUCAAGGGAAUCAUGGAAAUGUUGCCAAGAUGGCUUUUGGUAUUCAUUGGUCCCCCUGCUAGAAUGACCAAAAAAAUAAUGCAUGUAUGAAUUGAUGCCCUUACAAGAGGCCAAAGCAUAAUAAUGACCUGGUUGGUCAUAAGAAAUAAUAUCCACUUUGCAAUGAAGUUGUAUUCAAAAUAA